UACAGGGGGUGCAAACGUUGCUCGGAAUCAUUGGGCGUAAAGCGCACGUAGGCGGUUCGUUAUGUCGGAUGUGAAAGCCCUUGGCUUAACCGAGGAAGUGCAUCCGAAACUGGCGAGCUAGAGUACGAAAGAGGAUCGCGGAAUUCCCGGUGUAGAGGUGAAAUUCGUAGAUAUCGGGAGGAACACCGGUGGCGAAGGCGGGUCUCUGGGCCGUAACUGACGCUGAGGAGCGAAAGCAUGGGGAGCGAACAGG
rnacentral:rRNA from 1 species